CUCCUCCUCCUCUCACCCAGGAUCACUUCCGAAACCACUUGGCCUUCAGCCCCUGCCUCGGCCAGAGGUUUCAUUUUUAACUGAAUAUUUACGAAAGCUGAAAGCGUGCGAGGGGGGUGGGGUGGAAAUAGCGGCUGCUUCUUUUCCAGGGAUUUAUUUAAUGGGGAUGUGUUCAAGGCAAGACCGAAUUCAGAAGGAUAUCGACGUCGUGAUCCAGAAGUCCAGAGCUGAGGACUGCCUGUUUGCAG
rnacentral:lncRNA from 1 species